UACGUAGGGGGCGAGCGUUGUUCGGAAUUAUUGGGCGUAAAGGGCGCGUAGGCGGUGCGGUAAGUCACCUGUGAAACCUCUGGGCUUAACUCAGAGCCUGCAGGCGAAACUGCCGUGCUGGAGUGUGGGAGAGGUGCGUGGAAUUCCCGGUGUAGCGGUGAAUGCGCAGAUAAUCGGGAGGAACACCGGGUGGCGAAGGCGGUUCUCCUGGGCCGUUACCUGACGCUGAGGAGCGGAAAGCGUGGGGAGCGAACAGG
rnacentral:rRNA from 1 species